rnacentral:lncRNA from 1 species
UAACAAUUUCAAUCUACAUUGAGAAACAAGGUUAAGUAUUCCAGAAUUUACCUCUAAACAAGCUAUUUUGAAUUCAUGAGGUGCUCUUCUUAUCACUGCAAUGAAUAAGGUGGAAAUGGUAAUAUGAAACUUAUAAACUAAUAUAAAGAAGGGGAAAGAAUAAUAGAAAAGGAAAAGGAGUGAAGUGGGCACAAAAGAUAAUGCAUGCAUGUAACAAAAAAUAUAGCCGAAAGGGUUAAAACAACAAAGACAGCCACUUUGAUCAAUUAUAGCAACACUUUCAACUGAAGCCAUAAAACUGUGAUGCAAACUCAAAACAGC